rnacentral:rRNA from 1 species
UGCUAUGGCCAUACCACCCUGAACACACCCAGUCUCGUCCAAUCUCCAAAGCUAAGCAGGGUCAGGCCUGGUUUGUACUUGGACGGGAGAAAGAUAAAUAUCACAU